rnacentral:rRNA from 1 species
AUUGAACGCUGGCGGCAGGCCUAACACAUGCAAGUCGAGCGGAUGAAGGGAGCUUGCUCCUGGAUUCAGCGGCGGACGGGUGAGUAAUGCCUAGGAAUCUGCCUGGUAGUGGGGGAUAACGUCCUGAAACGGGCGCUAAUACCGCAUACGUCCUGAGGGAGAAAGUGGGGGAUCUUCGGACCUCACGCUAUCAGAUGAGCCUAGGUCGGAUUAGCUAGUUGGUGGGGUAAAGGCCUACCAAGGCGACGAUCCGUAACUGGUCUGAGAGGAUGAUCAGUCACACUGGAACGGAGACACGGUCAAGACUCCUACGGGAGGCAGCAGUGGGGAAUAUUGGACAAUGGGCGAAAGCCUGAUACAGCGAUGCCGAGUGUGUGAAGAAGGUCUUCGGAUUGUAAAGCACUCUAAGUUGGGAGGAAGGGCAGUAAGUUAAUACCUUGCUGUUUUGACGUUAACAACAGAAUAAGCACCGGCUAACUUCGUG